UCCCAUCCUCCUAAUUUAGCCCUCCCCCCAGUGUUUCCCCUUUGGUCAUUAUCAGUUUGCUUUUGAAAUCUUUGAGUCUGUUUCUGUUUCGUGAAUAAGUUCUUUUAUAUCAUUUUUAUUAGAUUCCACUUAUUAAUGAUCUCAUAGGAUAUUUGCCUUUCUCUGACUUACUUCACUUAGUAUGAUCAUCUCUAGGUCUAUCCAUAUUGCGGCAAAUGGCAUUAUUUUGUUCUUUUUUAUGGCUGAGUAGUACUCCGUUGCAUGUAAGCACCAUGUAUUUUCCCCCAUUUUUUAAAGUUUUAUUGAUGUAUAGUUGUUUCACAGUGGUGUGAUCAUUUCUUCUGUACAACAAAGUAAUUUAGUUAUACAUAUGCACACAUCUGUUCUUUUUCAUAUUCUUUUCCCAUACAGAUCAUCACAAAAUACUGGGUAGACUCUCCUGUGCUGUAUAGCAGAUCCCCAUUGGCCAGUAAUUUAUGGCUGAGUAAUAUUCCAUUGUCUAUACCACAUCUUUAGCCAUUCCUCUGCUGAUGGACAUUUAGGUAGCUUCCAUAUCUUGAAUGUUGUAAAUAGAGCUGCAGUGAACAGUGGGGUGCAUGUAUCUUUUUCAAUUAUGGCUUUCUCCAGAUUAAAAAAAAAUUUGAGACACAGUAUUCCCUUGGAAUUACUUAGAAUACUUUUGUUGUUGGUUGUUUUCAGGUGCGUUCCCAUUGUGGCUCAGUGGAAACGAUUCUGACUAGUAUGCAUGACGAUGCAGGUUCGAUCCCUGGCCUCGCUCUGUGGAUUAAAUAUCCAGCAUAUGCCAUGAGCUGUGAUGUAGGUUGCAGAUGUGGCUCGGAUCCCAAGUUGCUGUGGCUAUGGCGUAGGCCUGCAGCUGCAGCUUGGAUUUGACCCCUAGCCUAGGAACCUCUACAUGCCAUGUGUGCAGCUCCCCCCUGCCCCCAAAAAGUGUAUAUAGUGGUGGGUUUUUUCCUCAGUGAAUAAAGUGAGUGAUAAAGUCUGGGUACCAGGAAAAGAAGCAGGGUGCUACCUGCAGAAGUGAACUAUAAAAAAAAUCGCCAAAAGGUCAAAACUCUCUAGAAACAUUUGCCUGGGGUAUCAAAGUAACAGUAGCAAAAAAUUUGAAGAAACCUGGUAUCUUUAGUGAUUUGAGAAAUAUGUCAAGGGGGUUUUAUUUUUUAGAUCUUUAAAAAAACCGAAUGUAACAUGUUGAUGAAAAGAUUCUUUUUCUUAUGCGUAAACAUUUGGAAUUAAUAGAAAGCUUAGCUACCAUAAGUUCUAGGUCUGUUUUAUUCAAAGAGGAUUUGUAAUUGCAAAGUCGAACGAGGCUUUCAUUCAGUUAAUCUGUUGGUCAGUACACAGUCAGAGAGCAUCUGACAACACUGCACAGCUAAAAUGCAUCUUCCCACACCACCCAGGCUCUUCCCUGUCUCACCACUUCCAUCAUUAUUUUUUGGUAAGCAUUUGUCAUAAUCUGGAAUUAUCUUGUUUACUUGUUCAUUGUAUGUUGACCCCAGGGGAAUGUAAGAUCCAGGGGCAGGAAACCUCUCUGUCUUCUUCAACGUGGUGUCUGUGGUGCUUGGCACAGAGUGGGUUCUCAGUGCAUAUUGGCUGGAUGAGAAAUUAGAUGCAGAGAUGAAUAAACUGUGUGCCAAGGGAUGUGGGCUAGGUCUUGAAGCAUCUAUGGCAUGGGCAUAGCGUACGUGGAGGAGGGAGCCUCCUCCGACAGGUGGGUACGAGUGAGAUGAUGGUGGCUUUGUUCAUGGGGAUAAGGAGGAGAGCAGAGGGAUUAAGGCAGUGAUUCGAUGUCAGGUUGUUGGGAGGGAAGGUUAAAGUGGUUGCAGGAGGGGAAAAGUGCAGGAAAUGUCCAAAGCCAAGCAGGACUUUGGAGCUGGGAGAGAUUUUUGAGAUCCCGUCGGCUCCCUUAAAGAUGAAGUGGCAGAGGUGUCCAGAGGUGAAGGGUUAACUGUUCAUUCAUUCCUCCACUCCCAUGGCAUAUGGAGUGCCCGGGCCAGGGACAGAUCCAAACCGCAGUUGUGACCUUGGCCUCAGCUGUGGCAAUGAUGGAUUCUUAAACCACUGUUUAGGCUAGGGAUCGAACCUGUAUUCUGGCACUACGUAGAUGCUGCCAAUCCUGUUGUGCCACAGCGGGAACUCCUCGUUUAUUUAUUUAUUUAUUUUCUGGUGAUGGGGAAACUAGGUAGCUAAAUGACUAGAAAUCUUAUUCUGUUGACUUCCUAUUUAGUGCUCUUUCUUUUUCUUAGGUUUUUUUAAAAUGACUUACGUAAGUCUUUCUGAAUUAGUACUUCUUUUAAUAGUUUUUUUUUUUUUUAAUUUUUUGUCUUUUUAGGGCCAUACUUGCAGCACAUGGAGGAUCCCAUGCUAGGAGUUGAACUGGAGCUGCAGCCACUGGCCUACACCACAGCCACAGUAACGCUGGAUCCUUAACCCACUGAGGGAGGCCAGGGAUUGAAUCUGCGACUUGAUGGGUACUAGUCAGAUUUGUUUCUACUGAGCCACGGUGGGAACUCCGAUCUAGGCUUUUUUUUUUUUUUUGGUCUCACCUACAGCAUAUGGAUGUUCCCAGGCCAGGGACAGAACCUCCGUCACUGCAGUGACAACACUGGAUCCUUAACCCUCUCUGUCACAAGAGAACUCCUCCAGUGCUCUUUCUGUGCUCCUUUGGACAUGGGAAAGCACUGAAAUUGUUUGAAUGAAAGAUGGUAUAUGGGCAAGUUGGCGUUCAUGAAAAAUAAUCUGACUCCCAUAUGUAAGGGCGAGUUGGAAAGGAAAAACUAAUUCCAAGAGAACAGGCAAUAGACUAGGAAAUUAUGUUGUAAGAAGUAGAGCUGCAAUCAUAUUUCUAAAUCUAUUCCUUGUCUUAAAUGUAUUUGUUCAUUUAACACUUUUCAGACAAGGCUGAACUGAUAAACACAGCAGACCAUGCAGUUGGGAUAAAAAUCAUGCAUGUCCUAAAUUUCAUUUCUCGCCAGCUACCUUUUGAGUCUUCAGUGACUUUAGGACAAUUGCAGGAAUCUAAAUUCCUUUUUAGCAGUGUGUGAUAGACACUGUUGACUAGCCACACAGUUUCAGUUCCUCCUUACUAACUAACAAAACCUAAUUUUGGAGUUCCUGUCAUGGCUCUGUGGUUAACGAAUCUGACUAGCAUCCAUGAGGAUGAAGGUUCGAUCCCUGGCCUUGCUCAGCAGGUUAAGGAUUUGGCGUUGCAGCGAGCUGUGGUGUAGGUCGCCGAUGUGGCUUGGAUCUGGCAUUGCUGUGGCUGUGGUGUAGGCGGGCAGCUGCAGCUCCGAUGUGACCCCUAGCCUGGGAACCUCCAUGUGCUGUGAGUGCGGACCUAAAAAGCCAAAUCAAACAGACAGACACCACCCUCCUCUCCUUCAGCCACCCACCUCAGCCCUCCACACGCUCCCUCCUGGACCAGAGAGUGGUGUUGGAUCGGGGUGACGAUUCCACUCCUUUGCUAAAGAUGCUUAGAAAACCCAGCCUUAAGCCGAUCAGUGCGCGGUUUCUGCUCUGCACCACUACGGGUUGCCCCCAGUAGACACCGUUUUCCCUGCAGCUGGCGGAGCUGCCUUUUUGUCUCCAUCACUCCCCUCACUAGUGGCAGUCAUUCUGUGACCCUGGCAGAAGCCAGUCUGCGGACAGAACUGAAGCUAGAGGAAGGCUGAGAGGAACACUGCCGGAUCCCAGGGGGAGUUCGGAUUGCACGAUGACUGGGGUUGUAACCCUGUCUUUGAACGUCUGUAUUUUUGCAAAAGCCAAAACGAUGGGCGUGUUCGGCUGCUUGCAGACAAACGUCACCCUAAGGACGGAUGUAAGCAAGGAAAAGAGAGUGGAAAUGCACUGCAGCAGAGACAGCAUCUUGUGCGAUGCUCAGUGGAGCACCUGGCUAAGUACUGCCGAAUGAGGGAAAGCUGCGUUCUAAUCUGAGUCCUCAUUCUAAUUCGGAUGCGCAGAGGGGUCAGUUCCCUUGAGAAGCUGCUUCUUCCAAGUCAGGAUUUUCCUAGGGGUCUUCCAGCCGGUGAUAUUUACUCAUCUCCAUCAUGUCUGAAAAACCAUGCAAAGUAGUGUUAACAGCUAACUCUUAAAGAAAUAAUGUUGCUAUUAAACAUCAUUCGCUAGCCCUCUCAUAAGCGUUUGACAGGUAUCAACCCAUUUUUUUUUUGAAAAAGAUUUAAAAGAGCCAAGAAGCCUGUAAGGGGAUCUAUUCAUGUGUUGUUUUGUAGAUGAGCGACAGCAAGAGAGAUGAAGAGUUUUCAUGCUCUGUCCACAGUUGUCAUACAACCAGUAAGAGAUGGAGGUGGGGUUUCACCUCAGGCCAUCUAGCUUGACUGCUUUUAUGCAGCAAACAGAAGGCGGUUUUCCUAAUGAAAAGCAGCAAAGGUGGUAAAGAAUUUUGAGGGCCGCUGGCUAUGCAGCGUAUUCUGGGGAUCGGGAAGAAAUGAGACAAGGGGUAAAUUGACUCUGGUUUGUAAUCUCUCACCUCAGACUCGGCCCUGACAGUUACGUUUGCCAGUGAGAAGCCACUGGCCACAUGUGGCUGUAAGCCCUUGGAAUGUGGCUGCUGUGAUUUGGAUGUGCUAUACGCGUAAAACUGACACCAGAUUUUGAGGACUUAAUAAGAAAAAAGGAUAUAAAAUCUCUCUUUUAUAAUGAGCUAUCUGGAUCACAUGCUGAAAUGAUAAUAUUCUGAAUAUUCUGGGUAAUGUAGGAUAAAUAAGUUAAUUUUAUUUGUCUACAUAUUUUCAUUUGGUUAUAAGACUUAAAAUGACAUGUAGUGGGUAUUAUAUUAUCUUUUUAUUGGACAGCACUACUUUAGGGAUUUUGUGUUCAGUGCUGUUUGUAGGUUCUCUCUACAUUUUUCUGGAUUAAAAACUAUCUCAGAGAUACUUUACUAAUAGUAGCACUUUCCAUAGCGGAUGGGUUAUUACAUUUUUUUUCCCUCUGAAAUGAGUGUUAGCAGUCGCUUCUCAGCCUUUUGGCUAAGACCAAGUGAAAUUGGUGUUCACAGCCACUCCUAAAAUGCUAGUCAUCUUUACUAGCACUUUUGUAGAAGGCUUUGGAGAAUUCUGGAAUCUGAAAACAGAAGUAGAAGAAAUUAGGGAGAGGUAGAACUUAAAAGUCCUGACAUCUGGGUUGCCGUGCUCAGGGGCCACUUCUGGAAGAAAGCACUCUCUGUGCAAAGGCACAGCUUUGUGCCAAAUGGGGAUUUAAUACUGUAAACUUCCCCGUUUUUGUAUUGUAAACAGGGCAAUGGUCUACUAAGUACCACCUGCUUUUCAAACCAAAGCUUUAUGUCUGGUCUUCCUCAGACUGCACCACGGCUCACAUAAACCGCAUGGUUUUUUUAGUUCUUUCAAUAUUGUAGUUGAAAAAUGUACCCAGCGUAGAUUAGCUGUAGUUGCAUUCUGAAGCUAAAGACGGAGAGCUUGGGCUGGAAGUGGGGGUAAGUCUAUGAGACUGAAAGUUGCAAAUGC
rnacentral:lncRNA from 1 species